AUUUACAUUAAAAACAAUAACUUUUCAUCAUCAUUGUGAAUUUUAAUCAAACUAUUAUAGAAGAGCAAGAUGCAGAAGACAAACUAUUAUGGCUCAAAAACUCCUCUGAGCCAUGGACAGCCUUAGAACUAAAGUGGCAAGAAACUACAGAGACGAGGCUAAUUUCUGCAAAAUAGUUAACUAUAGCUCCAAUACCUCAAUACAAUGAAUACGCGGCUCUUAAAAAACCCAAAGGAUAUCUUCUGCUAGAAAAAGAUUUUGAAAACCAAAGGACAAUAUACCGAAAUCACUGAAAGCUUCCCCACAAUCAAGCCAAAAAUAUUUGAAUUAGUAAGUUACUUCUGAUCAAGCAAGAUAUUGUCAUAUAUCUAUUACUUUAAUCAAAUACCUAUUACUUUAGUUAAUUACAUUAGGUACGAUAUAGUUCCGAUAUAAUAUCUACACAUCAAACAAGUCUAUGAUCCUAGAUGUUGACAAUUUUUUGGAUAAAAAUCAUUUCCAGUUGCUUGAAUACUUAAAAUGGCCUUGGGUGAAGACACAUUUCAUUUUAUCUAAAAAGUGUUUUGGGUGUGGUUCUUUCACAUUUUGUAACGAGGUUCAACCAGAACAUUUUAUAAUAGAAAACGAUCAAUAUGUAAAGAGCUUAUUGUACUUUAAUUUUUUUGGUGCAAAAAAUGUUUAUGUUUUAGUUGCAUUUAUGAUCAUUUUCCCGACGACGAAUGUGAAUUAUGUUUCAAUGUUUCCUUGUUGGGUUGUAAUAAAAUUAUUAGAUCAAAAAGGUUACUUAUUCUCCUAGCUUAUUCUAUAGGUUUUGCCUAAACUUUUGACUUAUCAAAUACAUAUAAGUACAAUAUUUAGGUGUAGUAACUUGCUUACAUUACCAUAAUGAUUGUUUUUUUUUUAAUGUAAACAAACCUAAACCACUUUCAUUAGAGAACAAACUCCAACAUCGCGAAAUAAAAUCAGCUGUUCCGUAGAUUUUGGCAGAGUAGAUAAUUCCACUUUUGUAUAUGAAACAGCUGAUAUUUCUUUUACGAUGUUGGAUUUGGCCCUAUAUCUAAUUAAAGUUGUUCAGGUUCGUAGUCUGAGUCAUUCCUUAAAAGUUUGCUCAUGAUUUAUAUUUCACCCUGUUAUUGUGAAAAUUAAAAUACAGAACUCCAGUAUCGUUUCUUCACAUUGUGAAUUGUGUACUAUUUUUAAAAGUAGUAGUAUUUAAAGUGUAUGUAGUAUGUUACUUGAAAUGAUUGUACUGAAUAAAGCUAAUUUCA